AACUGAUUAGAAGCUUGCUUCUAUGACGUUAGCGGCGGACGGGUGAGUAACACGUGGGCAACCUGCCUGUAAGACUGGGAUAACUUCGGGAAACCGAAGCUAAUACCGGAUAGGAUCUUCUCCUUCAUGGGAGAUGAUUGAAAGAUGGUUUCGGCUAUCACUUACAGAUGGGCCCGCGGUGCAUUAGCUAGUUGGUGAGGUAACGGCUCACCAAGGCAACGAUGCAUAGCCGACCUGAGAGGGUGAUCGGCCACACUGGGACUGAGACACGGCCCAGACUCCUACGGGAGGCAGCAGUAGGGAAUCUUCCGCAAUGAACGAAAAGUUCUGACCGAAGCCAACGCCGGCCUGGAGUGAAUGAAGGCCUUUCCGGGUUCGUAAAAACUUCUGUGGGUUAGGGAAGGAACCAAGUACCGAGGAGUAAACUGCCUUGUACCCUGGAACGGUACCUUAACCCAGAAAAGCCCACGGCUAAAUUACGUGCCCAGCAGCCGGCGGUAAUACGUAGGUGGCAAGCGUUAUCCGGAAAUUAUUGGGCGUAAAGCGCGCGCAGGCGGUUUUUUAAGUCUGAUGUGAAAGCCCCCGGGUUCAACCGUGGAGGGUCAUUGGAAACUGGGGAACUUGAGUGCAGAAGAGAAAAGCGGAAUUCCACGUGUAGCGGUGAAAUGCGUAGAGAUGUGGAGGAACACCAGUGGCGAAGGCGGCUUUUUGGUCUGUAACUGACGCUGAGGCGCGAAAGCGUGGGGAGCAAACAGGAUUAGAUACCCUGGUAGUCCACGCCGUAAACGAUGAGUGCUAAGUGGUUAAAGGGUUUCCGCCCCUUUAGUGCUGCAGCUAACGCAUUAAGCACUCCGCCUGGGGGAGUACGGUCGCAAGACUGAAACUCAAAGGAAUUGACGGGGGCCCGCACAAGCGGUGGAACCUGGGGGUUUAAUUCGAAGCAACGCCGAAGAACCUUACCAAGGUCUUGGACAUCCUUCUGACAACUUCUAGAGAAUGGAGCGUUUCCCCUUUCGGGGGGAACGAAGUGACCAAGGUGGUGGCAUGGGUUGUCCGUCAGCCUCCUUGUCCUGGAAAAUGUUUGGGUUUAAAGUCGCAACGAGCGCAACCCUUGAUCUUAGUUGCCAGCAUUUAGUUGGGCACUCUAAGGUGACUGCCGGUGACAAACCGGAGGAAGGUGGGGAUGACGUCAAAUCAUCAUGCCCCUUAUGACCUGGGCUACACACGUGCUACAAUGGAUGGUACAAAGGGCUGCAAGACCGCGAGGUCAAGCCAAUCCCAUAAAACCAUUCUCAGUUCGGAUUGUAGGCUGCAACUCGCCUACAUGAAGCUGGAAUCGCUAGUAAUCGCGGAUCAGCAUGCCGCGGUGAAUACGUUCCCGGGCCUUGUACACACCGCCCGUCACACCACGAGAGUUUGUAACACCCGAUAGCCGGUGGAGUAACCGUAUAGGAGGUAGCCGAUCUAAGCUG
rnacentral:rRNA from 1 species